AUUGAACGCUGGCGGCAGGCCUAACACAUGCAAGUCGAACGGCAGCACGGGAGCAAUCCUGGUGGCGAGUGGCGAACGGGUGAGUAAUAUAUCGGAACGUGCCCAGUCGUGGGGGAUAACGUAGCGAAAGCUACGCUAAUACCGCAUACGAUCUAUGGAUGAAAGCGGGGGAUCGCAAGACCUCGCGCGAUUGGAGCGGCCGAUAUCAGAUUAGGUAGUUGGUGAGGUAAAGGCUCACCAAGCCGACGAUCUGUAGCUGGUCUGAGAGGACGACCAGCCACACUGGGACUGAGACACGGCCCAGACUCCUACGGGAGGCAGCAGUGGGGAAUUUUGGACAAUGGGCGCAAGCCUGAUCCAGCAAUGCCGCGUGCAGGAUGAAGGCCU
rnacentral:rRNA from 1 species